rnacentral:rRNA from 1 species
AACGAACGCUGGCGGCAUGCUUAACACAUGCAAGUCGAACGAGACCUUCGGGUCUAGGGGCGCACGGGUGCGUAACUCGUGGGAACCUGCUCUUUGCUACGGAAUAACUCAGAGAAAUUUGUGCUAAUACCGUAUAAUGUUGUAAGACCAAAGAUUUAUCGGCAAAGGAUGAGCCCGUGUAAGAUUAGCUAGUUGGUGAGGUAAAGGGUCACCAAGGCGACGAUCUUUAGCUGGUCUGAGAGGAUGAUCAGCCACACUGGGACUGAGACACGGCCCAGACGCCUACGGGAGGCAGCAGUGGGGAAUAUUGGACAAUGGGCGAAAGCCUGAUCCAGCAAUGCCGCGUGAGUGAUGAAGGCCUUAGGGUUGUAAAGCUCUUUUACCAGGGAUGAUAAUGACAGUACCUGGAGAAUAAGCUCCGGCUAACUCCGUGCCAGCAGCCGCCGUAA